rnacentral:rRNA from 1 species
CGGGGCAAGUAAUGCUUGGGAAUCUGGCUUAUGGAGGGGGAUAACUACGGGAAACUGUAGCUAAUACCGCGUAGUGUCGAGAGACGAAAGUGCGGGACCGAAAGGCCGCAUGCCAUGAGAUGAGCCCAAGUGGGAUUAGGUAGUUGGUGGGGUAAAGGCCUACCAAGCCUGCGAUCUCUAGCUGGUCUGAGAGGAUGGCCAGCCACACUGGAACUGAGACACGGUCCAG